UUCCAUGGUGCAUCCUCGCCUAGAAUUGAGUGGAAGCAAGUCCAUCUCAGAAGGGACAUAACUGAAGGGGGAUGGCUUCCCAGACUCUGAUGGGCAGAGAGAGCAGCAGCCUGGCAUCUCUGAGCCCGCCCUUGGUGACCUCAGAGAGAUCACCCUAGUGGCCCAGGCUAGUGACCGGGAACAUGUACCUUCCUGCAGCCAACCCCAGACGUCCACUGAUGCAUCAUAUACUGGCAAAGAUCCUGGCCUAGGGGGGCCUUGGCCGCUGGAGUUUCGCCAGAUGUUGGACUCCAGG